GGAGACGUGUCCGAGUGGCUGAAGGAGCACGCCUGGAAAGUGUGUAUACGGGCAACCGUAUCGGGGGUUCGAAUCCGCCCGUCUCCGCAA
rnacentral:tRNA from 1 species